UACGGAAGGCAGCAGUGGGGAAUAUUGCACAAUGGGCGCAAGCCUGAUGCAGCCAUGCCGCGUGUAUGAAGAAGGCCUUCGGGUUGUAAAGUACUUUCAGUCGUGAGGAAGGUGUUAAGGUUAAUAACCUUAGCAAUUGACGUUAGCGACAGAAGAAGCACCGGCUAACUCCGUGCCAGCAGCCGCGGUAAUACGGAGGGUGCGGGCGUUAAUCGGAAUUACUGGGCGUAAAGGGCACGCAGGCGGUUAAUUAAGUUGGAUGUGAAAUCCCCGGGCUUAACCUGGGAAUGGCAUUCAAGACUGGUUAGCUAGAGUCUUGUAGAGGGGGUAGAAUUCCAUGUGUAGCGGUGAAAUGCGUAGAGAUGUGGAGGAAUACCGGUGGCGAAGGCGGCCCCUGGACAAAGACUGACGCUCAUGUGCGAAAGCGUGGGGAGCAAACAGGGAUUAGAUACC
rnacentral:rRNA from 1 species